ACGGGAGACACACGGCGGGUGCUAACGUCCGUCGUGAAGAGGGAAACAACCCAGACCGCCAGCUAAGGUCCCAAAGUCAUGGUUAAGUGGGAAACGAUGUGGGAAGGCCCAGACAGCCAGGAUGUUGGCUUAGAAGCAGCCAUCAUUUAAAGAAAGCGUAAUAGCUCACUGGUCGAGUCGGCCUGCGCGGAAGAUGUAACGGGGCUAAACCAUGCACCGAAGCUGCGGCAGCGACGCUUAUGCGUUGUUGGGUAGGGGAGCGUUCUGUAAGCCUGCGAAGGUGUGCUGUGAGGCAUGCUGGAGGUAUCAGAAGUGCGAAUGCUGACAUAAGUAACGAUAAAGCGGGUGAAAAGCCCGCUCGCCGGAAGACCAAGGGUUCCUGUCCAACGUUAAUCGGGGCAGGGUGAGUCGACCCCUAAGGCGAGGCCGAAAGGCGUAGUCGAUGGGAAACAGGUUAAUAUUCCUGUACUUGGUGUUACUGCGAAGGGGGGACGGAGAAGGCUAUGUUGGCCGGGCGACGGUUGUCCCGGUUUAAGCGUGUAGGCUGGUUUUCCAGGCAAAUCCGGAAAAUCAAGGCUGAGGCGUGAUGACGAGGCACUACGGUGCUGAAGCAACAAAUGCCCUGCUUCCAGGAAAAGCCUCUAAGCAUCAGGUAACAUCAAAUCGUACCCCAAACCGACACAGGUGGUCAGGUAGAGAAUACCAAGGCGCUUGAGAGAACUCGGGUGAAGGAACUAGGCAAAAUGGUGCCGUAACUUCGGGAGAAGGCACGCUGAUAUGUAGGUGAAGCGACUUGCUCGUGGAGCUGAAAUCAGUCGAAGAUACCAGCUGGCUGCAACUGUUUAUUAAAAACACAGCACUGUGCAAACACGAAAGUGGACGUAUACGGUGUGACGCCUGCCCGGUGC
rnacentral:rRNA from 1 species